CGGAGCGUGGCGCAGUUUGGUAGCGCACCUGCUUUGGGAGCAGGGGGUCGCUGGUUCGAAUCCAGUCGCUCCGACCA
rnacentral:tRNA from 1 species